GACGAACGCUGGCGGCGUGCUUAAUACAUGCAAGUCGAACGGAGAGGCCCUGCUUUUGUGGGAUGCGCAAGUGGCGAACAGGUGAGUAUCACGUGAGUGACCUGCCCUUGACUUUGGGAUAACUUCAGGGAACUGGGGCUCAUACCGGAUAGGAGCACCUGCUGCAUGGUGGGGGUUUGUAAAAUGCGGCGGUUGGGGAUGGACUCGCGGCCUAUCAGCUUAUUGGUGGGGUAGUGGAUUACCAAGGCUUUGACGGGUAGCCGGCUUGCGAAGGUGACAGGCCACAAUGGGAUUGGGAAACGAGCCGGACGGCUACGUGAGGAAUGGGUGGGGGUUAUUGCAAGAAGGGCGGAAGCCGUGUGGAGCAACGUCGCGUGGUGGAAGUCUGCCUUCGGGGUGUAACGCGCGUGCGCGUGGGACGAAGAGUGAGUGACGGUAAUGGGUAAGGAAGCACCGGCUAACUACGUG
rnacentral:rRNA from 1 species